GCUUCCCUAAACCUUGUUGUUGUGGUUCCCGGACAAACCCUUUCAUUUUUUUGAUGUGUCUCGUGCAAGGUCCCUGUACAGGGAGGGUUUCUUCUUUCGUUGAUUCUGGUUCAGAUUUGUCUUGGUAGGGAGGGGAGAUGCCCUUCUCCCUCUUCUUUGUUGUUCUUCGACCCUGCAAAACACUUCUCUUCUUCUCUAUUCUAGUGUGUUUCCCAAGCUA
rnacentral:lncRNA from 1 species